CAUCUCUUCACCUCCACCAGAAGUCCAUCUUCAAUCUCUAAAAAAAAUUUAAAAAUUUGAAGAAAGGAUCCAGAUCAGCUAAGAAGAUGGUCUUCUCAUGAGCUAGUACUCCCGAGAAGACCGAUCAGAUCGAGGCUUCAAGUAAACUUUCCAUAAAAGCUGGAUGCAUGUGCAACCAUGAGCAGCCAGUAAGCAUCAUCUUCACUAUAUCUCUCAAU
rnacentral:lncRNA from 1 species